CUCUCCGGCAAUAAGUUAGUGGGGACCUUGCCAGAGGCACUUGCGCAGAUAAAAGACUUGAAGGAUUUUCGCGUAAGUGAUAAUAAUCUUAAUGGCACCGUACCCGAGUUCAUUGGGAACUGCACUCAACUUCAAAAGCUUGAAUUGUACGCGACUGGAUUGCAAGGACCCAUACC